CUUUUCUCUGAGUGCAGUUUUGAAUCCAAAUCAGGUAUUAAUGACAAAGUAGGGUAUUUUAGAUUACAGGGGUCUUGGAACUCCCUGUCGAUCUCAUUCAGUUUAGCAAGCAGCAUUUCAGUCUUGAGUCGUUCUUCUUCCUCUUCUUUCAAUUUAUCAAUAUUUUGAACGUGAUACAUUCCCAUUUGGUACCUUCCAGUUUCCAGUUCUGGGUUUUCUUCUUUCUUAAGUAAAGAUGUCUUUCCUUUUUGCAUUUUAUCAAGUUCUUUUCUUUCCCAUUCAUCCUCCAGCUUCUCAACCCCUUGUUUUACAAUAUGGAGCCCUUGAUCUUUAAAGUGUUUUUCUUCUUUUUCCACAGUUGGGUUUAGAAUCUGUGCGUCUUUGUGUUCAUCUUGCUCUUGGGAUUCCAGGUCCAUGGUAAGAUGUUCUGGUUCAUCCCAUUUGUUUUCAUAACACAUAGUUGUUUCUGCUGUUACAGGGAAUUCUUCCAGUUCAGACUCUUCAGUGGUUUGUAUACCUUUGGUAUACAGGUUUGUAAAAUCACUCUGGCAUGCAGCUUUAAUUUGUGAUACAGUUGUUGUAGCUCCUUUUGAAGAACUUUAUUUUCAUAAUGAGCCUCAAAUGCCCUUUUCCUUUCAGCAAGCAACUGUCAUUGGAAACUGUUAGUACUCAGCUCAAGAUUUUUUUGAUAGUUCCUUGAUUCUUCUUUCGGUAUCAUCUAACUUCAACUCUGCUGAAACUAGUUUCUUUGCCAAAUCAUCUCUUUUGGGUAGGUGUCUAGCUUCAGAGAUCUUUUUCAGUUUCUGUAAGGAAGAUUUUGUCCUAAAUAGUUCACUUUCUGUAUCUUUCACCCUUUUCUCAGUUGCCUGUUCUUUCUCUUGAGAUUUUCUUAAGCAUUCUUUGAGCACUGUAAUCUCAUUGUUAUGACUAGAUAUAAGUUGUGAGAUUUCAUUUUCUGCAUCUCCAAAUUUAUUCAGGACUUUCUCCUGUCUGUACUGAACCCUUUUCAAAGCCUUAUUUUCUUUCAACAGGUCAGCUAACUUCACCUGGCCUUCAGACACUUCAUUCUGUAAUGCACUGAUUUUGAGCAAUCUUGCAGAAAGAACCCAUUUUGUCACAAGAUCAGGAUCUUUCCAAAGUGGCUCUCUGUUGAGGCUUUGGGAACGAAAUCCCAGUUGGGCUCCCUUUUUGUCUGGUGCACCCUUAGGGCUUGGUUUCCUAGGGGCUUGGUGAUGCACUUGGUUAUCUGACAUUUGUCUUGUAGGAUUUUCCCCCCUAAUAUUUUCAGGUGAAGGGUGGACUGGUGAAGACUGACCAGAGGACUGGGAUGUCGUUCCAAAGUCAGAUGAAUAGUAACAGGAGUGGUGUCUGCCGGUCUUACUUUCUUGAUCACUAUCUGUGCUUCUUGCUCUUUCCCCCA
rnacentral:lncRNA from 1 species